rnacentral:rRNA from 1 species
GUAGCUAAAUGCGGAAGAGAUAAGUGCUGAAAGCAUCUAAGCACGAAACUUGCCCCGAGAUGAGUUCUCCCUGACUCCUUGAGAGUCCUGAAGGAACGUUGAAGACGACGACGUUGAUAGGCCGGGUGUGUAAGCGCAGCGAUGCGUUGAGCUAACCGGUACUAAUGAACCGUGAGGCUUAACCUUACAACGCCGAAGCUGUU